AAGCCACUGGGGGUGCUACAAAGUAACAAUCGAGUUAAUCAUGGCGUUCGGACACGGACGCCGCAGUUCUUUACCCAUUUCUUUCUUCUCCUUAUACUGAUACUCAUCAAACACCUCCUCACCCAUUCACUGACUACCCAAACGUCAGACACGAUGGCCUGAGAGCCAUCGUUUUAACUUUGCGUCGAGAGAACGAGGAAAAACACAACAAACAACGGGCGUCUCUGAGAACUGGAGCUUGGGAAAGUAGCGAGAGGCGGCGAUUCGCGUGCUUGGUCGGCUGUUGAAGUCGGAAAGAAAUUGUUCUGGAAAGAGAGGAGGGGGUUCGAAAAGGAGGCGCAGUCUCCGAGAUGCCGUCGGUGUCAUGGCAGUAACGAGGCAUGGGAGUAACGUGAUCAGGGCAAGGACUGUCGCUUCCUAACGAACCUAGGACCACCAUGCCCCUCUUCCUGCCAGACUAAAGUCAGGGGAGAGGCCAGACUGGACAGCUUAAGAGAGAGACAGUUUGUGAGUGACUUUGUAAGAAAAAAGAGAGAGAGCGAGACAAAAGGAAACACGAUGGAUGAGUCUGCAUUGCUGGACCUGUUGGAGUGCCCCGUGUGUCUGGAGCGUCUGGAUGCCACGGCCAAGGUGCUCCCAUGCCAGCACACCUUCUGCAGGCGCUGCCUGCUGGGCAUCGUGGGCUCACGUGGGGAGCUGCGCUGCCCGGAGUGCCGCACGCUGGUGGAGAGUGGCGUGGACGAGCUGCCCAGCAACAUCCUGCUGGUGCGUCUGCUGGAUGGCAUCAAGCAGAGGCCCCGACGGCCAGGCCCAGGAGCUGGAGCUGGAGGAGGAGGAGGCGCAGCAGGAGCAGGCACAGGGGUCUGCACUACUAACGGCAUCGCCGGGGCGCUGGUCAGAGCACAGGCAACGGCAGCCCAGAGAGAACCAGGAGUCCCAGGAGCACAGCCCCAGAGGGUGCAGGCCAAGAGUACCCCUGUCAGGGGCAUUCCCCAGCUCCCCUGUGCCAAGGCCCUCUACAACUAUGACGGCAAGGAGCCCGGCGACCUCAAGUUCAGCAAGGGUGACAUCAUCAUCCUGCGCCGGCAGGUGGAUGAGAACUGGUACCACGGGGAGAUGGGCGGAGUCCACGGCUUCUUCCCCACCAACUUCGUGCAGGUCGUCAAGCCCCUCCCUCAGCCCCCGCCCCAGUGCAAGGCGCUCUACGACUUUGAGCUCAAGGACAAGGAGGCCGACAAAGACUGCCUGCCCUUUUCAAAGGAUGAUGUUUUGACUGUGAUUCGCCGUGUGGAUGAGAACUGGGCUGAAGGGAUGCUGGGAGAUAAGAUCGGGAUCUUUCCCAUCUCUUAUGUGGAGUUCAACACUGCUGCGCGGCAGCUUAUUGAGCUAGACAAGCCCUCGGACGGGAGCGGGGAUUCGGCGGGCGAGGGCCCCUCCUCUUCCUCUUCCUCCUCCUCCUCUUCGUCGUCCUCCUCUGCCGCCCCGGGCUUCCCUCAGGCCAACGGCACGCAGAAGCCCGGCGGCGAGAAGAAGAACACCAAGAAGCGGCACUCGUUCACCUCGCUCACCAUGUCCCAUAAGCCCUGCCUGGCACCGCCCCCACAGCGCCACUCCAUGGAGAUCAGCGGGCCCGUGCUCAUCAGCUCCAGCAACCCCACCGCCGCCGCCCGCAUCGGAGAGCUCAGCGGAGGCCUCUCGUCCAGCGCCCCCUCCCAGGUACACAUCUGCACCGCCGGCCUCAUCGUCACCCCUCCCCCCAGCAGUCCAGUCACCACGGCGACGGUGUUCACAUUCCCCCCGGAGACGAGCUACGCGUCUAUCCCAGUGGAUGCGUUGCCGCCCCCUCCACCUCCACCCCCACAGUCCUCAGCUGCAGGCGCCACAUCCUCAUUGGCUGCAGGACAGAGACCUUCCCCCACCAUAAACGACCAGAGCAGCAGACAGCGGCCUACUGUGUAUGUGGCGAUGUUCCCGUACACCCCACGGAAAGAUGACGAACUGGAGCUGAGGAAGGGCGAGAUGUUCCUGGUUCUGGAGCGCUGUCAGGACGGCUGGUUCAAAGGGACCUCCAUGCACACGGGAAAGAUGGGCGUGUUCCCCGGCAACUACAUGAGCCCUGUCAGCAGGACUGUUUCAGGGGGCAGUCAACCCAAAGUGCCCCUGACGCUGUGCACCCAGGCAGGGAGGGGGGUCACCAUCGUCAGCCCUUCAACUGCCCCCUUGGGGUGUGUGGAACACCCCAAGGUCCUCACCACCUGCCCAGGGGCAGCCCCACCCAGCCCCCUGCCCGCUGCGGUGGUCACCACCGCCCACAUGCCCCCAGGGACGGCCAAAGUCCUGAUGCACGUCACCUCCCAGAUGACCGUCAAUCAGGCACGCAACGCAGUCAGGACAGCUGCCUGCCACAACCAGGACCGGCCCACGGCGUCAGUGACGCCCAUCCUGCCCCAGCAAGCCGUGGCCUUCCUGCCCCACCUGGCCGUGUGCCCUCAGCCCUUACCAGCCGCGGUGGGCGGUGCCCCCCCCUCCUGCUCCCGCACCGCCGUGUCCCUGGGCUGUGCCGCCGCCUCGCUCACCCCGCCCAACGUCAGUGCCGCCUCCCUGGAUGCCGACGCCCUGCGGGCCGUGACCGUGCUGGCCGUGCCCCUGGCCCCCGGGAGCGCCGUGUCCCUGGGCGCUGCCAUGCCUUCGGCCGCCGCUGCCAACCAGGCCCUCGCCUGCCGCAUGGACAAGGACGGGAAGAGAGAGAAGAAAGGUCUCCUUAAGCUGCUAUCCAAUAAGAAGAAGCUCCGCCCCUCUCCUCCUUCCUCCCCAACGCUGGAGGCGGAGCAAAGCGUUGCCAUGGAGAUGGCCCUGGGCGCUGCCGGAUCCGACAUGGCCGCCUGCACAGCUGGAGCCAAUGGCGGUCGCUGUGCGUCUGCCGCAGGCCGAAUUGGAUCCCUCUCCAUCAGCCUUCGGGGCCCUUGA
ensembl:lncRNA